AUUGAACGCUGGCGGAAUGCUUUACACAUGCAAGUCGAGCGGCAGCGCGGGGGCAACCCUGGCGGCGAGCGGCGAACGGGUGAGUAACAUAUCGGAACGUACCCCGUCGUGGGGGAUAACACAGCGAAAGCUGUGCUAAUACCGCAUACGACCUGAGGGUGAAAGCGGGGGAUCGCAAGACCUCGCGCGAUGGGAGCGGCCGAUAUCGGAUUAGCUUGUUGGUGAGGUAAAGGCUCACCAAGGCGACGAUCCGUAGCUGGUCUGAGAGGACGACAGCCACACUGGAACUGAGACACGGUCCAGACUCCUACGGGAGGCAGCAGGUGGGUAAUUUGGACAAGUGGGGCAA
rnacentral:rRNA from 1 species